rnacentral:tRNA from 2 species
AAAAUCCGUCGACUUUAGAAAUCGUGAGGGUUCAAGUCCCU